rnacentral:rRNA from 1 species
CGGCGCACGGGUGCGUAACGCGUAUGCAAUCUACCCUUUACUGGAGAAUAGCCCGGAGAAAUUCGGAUUAAUGCUCCAUAUGCUCGUAGGAUCUCCUGAUCCAGCGAGGAAAGCUCCGGCGGUAAAGGAUGAGCAUGCGUCCCAUUAGCUUGUUGGUGAGGUAACGGCUCACCAAGGCGACGAUGGGUAGGGGGCCUGAGAGGGCGAUCCCCCACACUGGGACUGAGAUACGGCCCAGACUCC